UUUGUUAAUAUUAACUAACAAAAAUCCAUUUUUAUUGUUUCUCAAAUCGACAUCAUGCCUUACGUAUAUUAUAUGGUUGAUAUUCAACCUCGACCAACGGUUGAAGUCUCACUCUCUUAGUGUUCCUCUUAUUUUGUUUCUUUAAAUCCUUUGCGCCAAUCACCAGUAAUCACUCAAACCCCAGUGAGUUUUCUUCAGAGAUUUUUCUUCGGUUUUGUAAUGAACAAGACAACAAUUCAAGGGAUCAAGAUGUGCUUGUGCUCCAUGUCUGGUAAUGGUGACUUUCUGUUUCUAUGGAGAGACACACUUUGAGGUGACACAUAAGCUAUAUGGGAUGUAGAAGUAAUUCAAGAUUGCACUAUAAAUAAAAUGAAAUAUAGUUUCUUUAAUGGGUAUAUGUUUGAUCUGUCAUUAUAUAUAAGAUGUUGUUUAGUGACACUUUUUAUAUGACACUAAAAAUUUAAUGUAUGUAAUGACACUUAAUAUUUUUUUGUCACUAAUGUUGAUAGUUAAUAUUGGUGACAUAAUGAUUUAAUAUGCCAUUAAGAAUUUUAUUUAAUAAAAAAUAUUACAUAAAUAAUUCUUAAAGUAAUUAUGAAAAUUCAGUUAUAAUAUUAAAUUUUCAUUUUUUAUUUCUCUUCUAAUUUUCGUCAAAUAAUUUAUUUCUCUUCAAUUGUGUUCGACUCUUGGGUUCUCUUCCUCUAAUAUACCAUGUUUUACUUUUAACCUAAGUAACGUGAUAUGAUUGAAACCCCACUCCCACAAACGCCGAUAUGAACGCAUUAUCAUCGCCCUCUCUUCGUCGACAUCGGGACAUAACUCCGCCGUUGCUUCCGUCGUGCCGCUGCUGACGCCGUCAUCACCACCACCGCCGCUGCAUCUCCAACUCACGUCUACAUCUCUUCUUCUACAGGUACUCUAUGUCUCGAUUAGCUGUAAUAUUUUUGUUCCAACAUUUAUCGAGUUAGUUUUCCAUCUAUAUAUCUCACAAUUUUUGUUCCUACUCUUCCUAUAUUUAAUUAAUUAUGCUAGUCGAAUAACGAUCGAGCAUAAUUGAAUAUUGUUAUGUUAUUGGAUGUGAAAUUAUAGAAUUCCUUCAUACAGAAUCGAAGUCAAAAUCAGUUCAAGAGAUGAGGAGCAUAGACCUAUGAGUACAGUUAAACUUAAAAGGCUUUGUAGCUUGAUUUACAGCCCUUUAUUAUCUCACGUAGCCCUUCUGGUUUAGAAGUAUUAUCUUUCCCAAUAAAUCCAAAAUCGAUGGGUAAAUCUUCAGUGGCUAAUAAAGAGGAAAGAAAAUAACAAACACUCAUAUAAGGUUAUAGACUUAUAAUAUGUAGGCUUUUAUGAUUUAAGAUUUUCUUGUUUGCUAGAUAUCUGGAGCUGUUGUAGAGAUAUCUUAUACCAAAUCAUCAUGAUCAGUACUUCAACUGAAAACAUGAUUUAGGCUUUCAUAAUGGUCAACUGAUUUAUGACAACCAAGGUGAAUUUGGCUUAAAUUCAUGUGAUAUGACCUUUCCUUAGUGCAUUUACUUUUAUUUUUAAUCAUGAAACAUAUCUCCUUCAUGUAUGUCAUUAUAAAAAGAAAAUGCUUUAGUUCAUCAACAGUAUGAUGGAGUUCAAUUAUUUCAAGUUGAGAUUGUUUUAUAAUGCUCUCAAGAGCACCAGCCUAUGUAUAUAUAAAAGAUAACCAUUUUAGUUAAAAUAAGAUUUUGUGAAAGUGUUUUUUGUGUGAAGAAAGAUCAGAUUACAUUCUUCUUGACAAAACACUCUUUAGUAACAAGGACCCAAUAUGCUCUUUCUCCCUUGCUAAGUGAGUAACUUUUUUGCUUAGACUUUUCACUUCUUGGGUUCUUUCCACUACCAAUUUUAUUUUAUUGUUAUUUUUUUCCCAAAAGUGUUGAACUUAAUUCACUUAUUGACUCCAUUCCAACUAAAGAGGCCAGUAUACUCUCCUCUAUGUCAUUUUCAUGUGGAAGAAAUUAACAAGGAAUCUGAUAAUUAAAGAGGCUUGUAUAUUCUUUUCUAUGUUUAUUGACUUUGUAAUUUGUUUUAGAAACUAGAUGAGACAGUUGUGGAGAGAGUAUUCUUGAAGUCUCUUGAUAACUACAUCUAGUGGUGCACUUACCUAAACGACACACUUAUAUGGAGCUAGUAUGACAUUUCUACCCCUAUGAUAUUUUUAGGGUUAGCUAGAGCUCAGAUCCCUUAGUUUUUCUUUUGCUUUUGCAGUUUAAAUAUUAAUAGAGAAAAGAAUAUACUUUUCAUCUCUUUGAACUUUUUUGGUAUGGGGUGAAGCUGCCAAUGCUAUAUUCCUUCCGGAAUGUUUAUGCUACAUAUUUCAUAGUGUAAGGAGGUAUUUUAUUUGAUAUGUAGGUGUAUAAAACCAUUAUUAUGUUCUAUAAGUUUUACUUAAAGUUUAAUAAAUAGAUGGGAGGCGAAUUGUGUGGAUUAUAAAGCGAGCAGCUUGCAAAGCCAACCACUAGUUGUAUUACUAAAAAUGGUGUAAUUACAUUUCUUGAACAAGUCAUAUGCUUUCUUUAUAAUGUAUUUGUUGUAGUAUGUUGUGUAUUUACAAUUUUGCCAUUAUCACCAUUUCAAGAGUUUUGUUUUGUAUGUGGAAAGGUUUUUUUUUUAUUUUUUUUUACAGGAAGCUGAUAACAAUGAAAAUGGGAAAGCUCCUGAUUCUGCAUGAAGAGAUUGUGAUGAUUUCAAUAAGUACUUACGAAUAUAUUGAACGCAAGAAUCACCAAAUGUCGUGGGAAAACCUCUUUUGUUGAGUAACAAAUGUUCUACCAUAUUUAACAUAGCGUUGACCGCUUGUGGAUACUCCUUUUCAUGAUGUUUCAGGUUUGAUUUUUUCCCUCAAUUUCUUGUACUUUGUACAUUUUGCCAAUACAAUGUGUUAAUUCCAAAUUGAGAAAUUGCUUUAUGAACAGUCCCGCUACAAAAAAACAAUAAAUUUAUUUGGAAAAAAGUCAUAUUUUGCAAUCAUAUUGCACACUUGAUCAUAUUUUGUGAAAAUAUUGAUGUUAUCGCAAAAUAAAAAGAUAUGUGGUCAAUUUUCAAUUGACACGUUGGGAAAUAUGUGGUUGUAUUGUUAAAAGCCAAAAGGCCGGUCAAUAUAUUAAAAUGUGACCACUAAUUUUGUUCUUAUUAUGAUAUGUUACUUAUAGCAUUGAAAACAGUGGUGAACAUCUAGCAACAUUUCAUUGCCCUCAGUAACAUAUAUAUGAUGAAGUGUCAUUCAUCAAAAUCCAAAUUCCAAAUAGCUUAUAGUUUCGAUUGAAGUACUAAGGUGACGUAUCAGUUAUCCCUUUGUUUUAAACAUCAUGUUGAGCAUGAGAUGUUGAUCACAUUCUCAGUUGAUGUUUAACUUUAGUUGGGUGCCUUAGAUGUCCUACUCUUAACGCAUAAGAGAAACAAAUUUCUUUUUGACUACAUAUGCCUCUUAUGCAGAUCAUAUUGUAGCUAAUGAUGAGCUUAUGACAUGACUGCCUAGUUAAAGAGAAGGUAAGAACCAUAUUAAAGCACAAUACUCCUCACAUUUGAGCCCCUAAUAUACAUCUCAGUUUUAAGGAUACAAACAUAAUAUUUUAUUCUGGAGUCACUCAUGAUGACAAUCCACAAAGUGAUCUUGAAAUUGGUCAAGUCCAAUACUUGUCUCUUAACAAGUAUCUAUGAACUUGGUUGCAACCCUUUGCUAAUUUCAACCUAUGAAAUUUAACCAAUUCAAUUUAUAUUAGUCUUCCUUUAUAAUUGUUAUUAUGAUUGACUACGGCCCUUUUAAAAUAACUAGAUUUAUUCAAGGAUUAAAUAUGCUAACAUAGAGCACAACAAACACUAAUGAAAGUAUCAUAUCACUAUAUAUCAAAUUCAUUACAUAAUUGUUGCUUGCAAUGUUCUAACAUCAAAAUAGUAAAUCUAAAUCAAGUCCAUUCACUAAAUCAACUCUACCGUGAGUUCGUGAUGCUCAUGCUUUGCCGAUGGUAAUGGCUUUAGGAAUGGGUCUGUAACAUUUUGAUCUGUAGAACUUCGCGAAUACAAACAUAUCCAUCUUCAACUAUAUUUUGAAUGCAGUUGAAUCUUUAUUGGAUUUGUGCCAAUUUCUCUUAUGUGAUUUGGGUUCCUUAGCUAACACAAUGACACCCUCAUUAUCACAAAAUCUCUAGGGGGUCCUGAAAUAAAAGGACAAACCCUAGAUCUUCAUUAAAUUUCUUCAUACAUACUACUUCUAAAUAAUCGAUGUAUUCCGACUAUGUAGUAGAUUGAACAACACUUUACUUGGAGCUCUUCCAAGAAACCACGCCUCUAUUAAUAGUGAAUACAAAUCCAAAUUACGAUUUAGAAUCAUCUAUGCCUAUUUGGCAGAUAACAUCAGUGUAACACUUUGUAAGUGCUUCAAAAUGUUCUUUACAACAAUUCAAUGACGUCUCCUGGAUUUUGUUGGUAUCUAUUUGUCAUGAUCAAAGCAUACGAUACAUAUAGUCUUGUGUAUAACAUGACAUAAAUGAUGGAUCUAGCUGUAGAAUCAUAUGGAUUACCAUCUCUAGCUUAACUUUGUCACAUUGAUCAAUCUCUAUAGAUCUUUAUACCGUGAAUAUAAGUGGCUUCACCCAAAUCUUUCAUUGAGAAACAUUUCUCAAGCGAAGCCUUAACUCCUCUUAAAGAAGGUAGGAAUGUGACACUGCUCCCACUGGUUUUUUUGUAAACACAUGACUCAUCUUCAUUUUGAAUAAAACCAAUCUUUGAUUUUCUCAUCAAAGUGAUGAUUCCAACUUUGAGAUGCUUGAUUUAAUGCAUAAACGGAUAUUUUAAGUUUACACACUUUAUCAAGAUACUUUGGGCCGACAAAACCUUCACGUUUAGACAUAUAGACAUCUUGAGAUAAAUAUCCAUUAAGAAAAGUCGUUUUGAUGUCCAUUUUCCAUAUAUGAUAGUCAUAAUAGACGGUUAUGGAAAAUAGUAUCCUUAUAGACUUGAUCAUAGCCACAGGAGAGAAGGUUUGCUCAUAGCCGACACCGUGAGUUUGAGUGUAACUUUUUUCCAACUUUGAGAUGCUUGGUUUUCUUUUUGAAAACCCACUUACUCUGUAUAGUCUUACUGCAGGGAUGUGGAUCUACCAAGUCGCAUACUUGAUUCUCAUGCAUGGAUUGAAUCUCAAUGUUCAUGGCUUUAAACCGUUUGUCAGAUUCAGAAUCUAACAUGGCACUCUGGUAAUUUGAUAGGUUCAUCGAAAUCCACAAGAAAACACUCAUCAAUGAGAAAUCCAUAUCUCUUUGGUUCUUGAUGAACUAUACCAUAUAUGCGAACACUUUUUGUUUCAUUGAGUUCAUGAUCAAUAAUUUGUUUAGGUUCAACAACUUCUUGUUGUGUACUAGUUUCAACCUCUGGUGUAUUAGGCUGUCGUUCUUCUUCAAGUUCUACAUGUCUUCCAAUCGCUCUAUGUAUUAGAAACUUGAUUUGUAAGAAUAAAAUCUUUAUAGCAAUAAACACUUUAUUUUCAGUGAGAA